GUGGGGAAUAUUGGACAAUGGGCGCAAGCCUGAUCCAGCCAUACCGCGUGGGUGAAGAAGGCCUUCGGGUUGUAAAGCCCUUUUGUUGGGAAAGAAAUCCUGUCGGUUAAUACCUGGCGGGGAUGACGGUACCCAAAGAAUAAGCACCGGCUAACUUCGUGCCAGCAGCCGCGGUAAUACGAAGGGUGCAAGCGUUACUCGGAAUUACUGGGCGUAAAGCGUGCGUAGGUGGUGGUUUAAGUCCGUUGUGAAAGCCCUGGGCUCAACCUGGGAAUUGCAGUGGAUACUGGAUCACUAGAGUGUGGUAGAGGGAUGCGGAAUUUCUGGUGUAGCAGUGAAAUGCGUAGAGAUCAGAAGGAACAUCCGUGGCGAAGGCGGCAUCCUGGGCCAACACUGACACUGAGGCACGAAAGCGUGGGGAGCAAACAGGAUUAGAUACCCGUGUAGUCC
rnacentral:rRNA from 1 species